UGAAUGAAACUCUUGCCAAGAUCUCGAAUACAUCCAUGUGGUGUUAAGCCUCGUGAAUGAAAAGAUGAAAAAGUAGGAAUAGAAUUGGUCCAGUUGAAAUGAGAAAGGUUUCGGGGACGAAACCUCUUUUAAGGGGGGUAGAUUUGUAACGCCCAAAAAAUGAAAACUCAAUAAAACAAGUGAGGAUAAAUAACAAACUUAACAUAAUUAAGGAUUUAUGGCAAGAUGGUAGUGAAAUGUAGUUUAAAGAUUAGAUUUGUAAUUAGCAACUAAGUGAAGGGGGUAAAGUGCAAAGUGGUUAAACUUAAAUUAGUUAAAAAAAAAAACAAACUAACCCCCAAACACAGUGAGUGUGUCUGGGGGAACGAUCGAACAAGGAAGGAGGAGGGGGAAACCCUAAACUCAAGAAAUCAAGCAAUUGAAGCCUAAAAUCAUAAGAAAAUCCAGUGCAUGAGCCAUCUUAUCGAUCAUCUAAGCAUACCUAGUGAAGUGCUUGAAAGAAUAAGAACCAUGCCAAGAUGGACCAACUCAUGGGAAGCAAACGGGUCAAAGAGGAGGCAAAGAAACUAGCAUAAACAUGACGAGCACGAGGUUAUGAAUGUCGGACUUUCAAAGUGUUGAUAUAAUAAUGAAACGGUUGAAUCUUGAAAGGAUAAUCGGAUUGAAGUAACUUAUGCGGUAAAUCCUCAAUUCAGGCGACUUGGAGAAUCGGAGCGAGCGCGUGUUCAUGUUAUGUCAUACUAAACGCUUCCGCUAGCUUGUUCAAAUGUUUUUAGUCCAAAAUUUGUUGUAUUGGUUCUUAGUAGUAUUUUGUCGAAUGAAUCGUAGAAUUGUAUCUAGUUUGAUUAUGUUUAAAACAGGGGAAUGCUCGUUUUAUGGACGGGUCAUGCCCAAUUUUUGUUAAAUUAAUGCACCUGCGUUAUU
rnacentral:lncRNA from 1 species